AAGGGUCUAUAUCAGGCAAAUUCAGGCUAACAUAGAUAUUGAAUUGAGCAUUGAUGAACACCCAGCAGUGACUGAAGUUUACUUGAAAUGUACCAAAAGAAUUCCAAUGAAUGAGCUAAGGAAGCAUGUGGCUGGUUGUAAAGGACUUCAGGUUGUUGAUAAUGAUGUUGAUGAUUUUAGUGAUGUAGAUUCCUCACCAAGUUAUUCACCGUUGUGCUCCGAGCACAAUUCGCCUUCACAAAUUGAUACUGAAGCUUGUGGCAAUGAUGUUGCAGUAACAGAAGAGGUUAUGGUUGACUAUGCAGUAAAGAUAAGUGCUUCUGGUAGUGAAGUUCAGUGCCACAAUGUGUAAGUAUUUUAUGAUUUUAUACUGAGUUGCACCUAUUAAUGAUACUCAAAGUAAAGUGUUUGAAAGCGUUACUGAAAUAGCUGAACACUUACAAGGACUCACUUCUACUGAUGAACAUGAGAUAUAUUUCUCGCUGUUAGAGGAGAAGUGAUGUGCUCUCAUCAGUUCUCUGCGGGAUAGAUAAAAGGGCAUUUUCCCCCAAUAAACUAUUGGAAAUUAGCUUUUUAGGAGAGGAGGCACAGGAUGGUGGUGGCCCAAGGAGGGAAUUUUUUAGACUACUUGCUACCACCAUUAAGGAUACAAUGUGUGUGUGGCGAAAUGGAUCGUAUGUAUUUAGACAUAAUAUGUAUGGAAUUCAGACUAAUAAAUUUUUGAAGAUUGGAAUGCUUUUAGUGAUGUCGGUAGCUCAGGGUAGUGGGGGUAUCCUUUUUUUGCCAAGUGUGUUUUUGAUUAUCUUUGUGGUGACGAUAUUUCCAAGUUAGAGGUGGAUAUUGGUACUGUUGGAGAUGAGGAGGCAUACAUGUUAUUACAAAAAAUUGAAAUGGAACAAGAUAGUAAAUCAUUGCAACAGGUAUUAAUGGAGUCAUUUGAUAUAAUUGCUAAUGCUGGAUAUACCAAGCCGAUCCCCUCUGUGUCCACACAAGACAAGAAAGAUAUUCAAAGGGCAAUUGCUCUACAAUACAUUAUACUACAGUGUAUAACUGAACUAGAACAGUUUAAACGUGGAUUGUCUUCCAUACAUUUUCUAGAUAUUGUCAGAGCUAAUCGAGAGGUAGCUGCUCCAUUUUUUAUCAAAAGAAACGAGAAGCUUACUGCAGACAAAUUCAAGACUUGCUUAAAAAUAUCAUAUUCACAACUGAUCUAGGGACAAAUAUGAGAAGUAGGGAAGAGGAAGUUUAUAUGUAUUUUGUCAGGCUUCUCAAUGAGUGUGAAGAAAGCACUGAUCCUGACCACUUGACACUUGCAGACAUUUUGAUAUUUUUUAGUGGGGUUGACUCGAUACCACCAUUAGGUUUUUCUUCUUCACCAACGCUGACGUUUCACAAUAAAGACUUCCCUUCUUCUUCCACUUGUGCACUCACAUUGACAUUACCCAUUCAUAGUGAUUACAUGUCCUUCAAAGCAAAGGUCACAUUUGGAAUGAAGCAUCAUGGGGGGUUUGAAAAACCCUGACUUAAGGUUGUUCAUCUCUUCCAAUUUGGUUAAUAUUCAUAUUAUUCAUCAUUUAAUAAGAACUUGAUCACUUGUGUUUAUAUCAUUUUUCUUGUGGUUUUCUGUCUCCAUGUUAUGGAGUUUCAUUUUUGCAAGGCAAUCUGAUUCAUCCUAUUCAAUCAUUUACUCGAUAUAAUUAUA